rnacentral:rRNA from 1 species
UACAGAGGUCUCAAGCGUUGUUCGGAUUCAUUGGGCGUAAAGGGCGCGUAGGCGGUGGGGUAAGUCUGGUGUGAAAUCUCGGAGCUCAACUUCGAAAUUGCACUGGAUACUGCUCUGCUAGAGGGCUGGAGAGGAGAUCGGAAUUCACGGUGUAGCAGUGAAAUGCGUAGAUAUCGUGAGGAAGACCAGUGGCGAAGGCGGGUCUCUGGACAGUUCCUGACGCUGAGGCACGAAGGUCAGGGGAGCAAACGGG